rnacentral:rRNA from 1 species
GACGUAGGGCGCAAGCGUUGUCCGGAUUUAUUGGGCGUAAAGAGCUCGUAGGCGGCCUGUCGCGUCGACCGUGAAAACCCGCAGCUCAACUGCGGGCUUGCGGUCGAUACGGGCAGGCUGGAGUUCGGUAGGGGAGACUGGAAUUCCUGGUGUAGCGGUGAAAUGCGCAGAUAUCAGGAGGAACACCGGUGGCGAAGGCGGGUCUCUGGGCCGAUACUGACGCUGAGACACGAAGGCGUGGGGAGCGAACGGG